rnacentral:rRNA from 1 species
UGCGUAGGUGGGUCUUUAAGUCAGAGGUGAAAUCCUGGAGCUCAACUCCAGAACUGCCUUUGAUACUGAGGAUCUUGAGUUCGGGAGAGGUGAGUGGAACUGCGAGUGUAGAGGUGAAAUUCGUAGAUAUUCGCAAGAACACCAGUGGCGAAGGCGGCUCACUGGCCCGAUACUGACACUGAGGACAAGACUGGGGGAGCGAAACA